GAUGAACGCUGGCGGCGUGCCUAAUACAUGCAAGUCGAGCGAACAGACGAGGAGCUUGCCCCUUUGACGUUAGCGGCGGACGGGUGAGUAACACGUAGGUAACCUACCUAUAAGACUGGGAUAACUUCGGGAAACCGGAGCUAAUACCGGAUAAUAUUUCGAACCGCAUGGUUCGAUAGUGAAAGAUGGCUUUGCUAUCACUUAUAGAUGGACCUGCGCCGUAUUAGCUAGUUGGUAAGGUAACGGCUUACCAAGGCAACGAUACGUAGCCGACCUGAGAGGGUGAUCGGCCACACUGGAACUGAGACACGGUCCAGACUCCUACGGGAGGCAGCAGUAGGGAAUCUUCCGCAAUGGGCGAAAGCCUGACGGAGCAACGCCGCGUGAGUGAUGAAGGUCUUCGGAUCGUAAAACUCUGUUAUUAGGGAAGAACAAACGUGUAAGUAACUGUGCACGUCUUGACGGUACCUAAUCAGAAAGCCACGGCUAACUACGUG
rnacentral:rRNA from 1 species